rnacentral:tRNA from 1 species
GGUUGUGGCUCAGCCGUAGAGCACUCGCCUCACAUGUGCAAGACCCUGGGUUCAAUCCUCAGCACCA